rnacentral:rRNA from 1 species
UACGGAGGGUGCGAGCGUUGUCCGGAAUCACUGGGCGUAAAGAGCUCGUAGGCGGUCUGUCGCGUCGGCUGUGAAAACUCGGGGCUCAACUCCGAGCUUGCAGUCGAUACGGGCAGGCUAGAGUUCGGCAGGGGAGACUGGAAUUCCUGGUGUAGCGGUGAAAUGCGCAGAUAUCAGGAGGAACACCGGUGGCGAAGGCGGGUCUCUGGGCCGAUAUCACGCUGAGGAGCGAAAGCGUGGGGAGCAAACAGGAUUAGAAC